CCACACCGUAAACGAUGGAUACUAGGUGUAGGGUGUGAUAAACAUUCUGUGCCGUCGCAAACGCAGUAAGUAUCCCACCUGGGGAGUACGGCCGCAAGGUUGAAACUCAAAGGAAUUGACGGGGGCCCGCACAAGCAGUGGAGUAUGUGGUUUAAUUCGACGCAACGCGAAGAACCUUACCAGGGCUUGACAUAUACAGGAAUACUUAAGAGAUUAAGUAGCUCUUCGGAGUCUGUAUACAGGUGGUGCAUGGUUGU
rnacentral:rRNA from 1 species